rnacentral:misc_RNA from 1 species
GUGAAUCAUCGAAUUUUUGAACGCAAAUUGCACUCUCUGGUAUUCCGGAGGGGAUGCCUGGUUGAGGGGCAGGUUAAAUAAAAAACGGUGUGGGUGCUGCCUUUCGUGGUGACGCACCGGGUUUUGGUCGUCUUGCCGUCGGUUAAGUGACCUAAAAUUUUGCAUGAUGUUUUCGAAGGUAGUUUAAUGGUUUUACGUACGUGUUCGCUAUCGAGUAAUAA